rnacentral:rRNA from 1 species
GGCGAACGGGUGAGUAACACGUGGGUAACCUGCCCUCGGCACCGGGAUAGCCCGGGGAAACCCGGAUUAAUACCGGAUGGCCCUUCCAGCUUUCGGGCUGGUUUGGAAAGGUAGCUUCGGCCUCCGGCCGAGGAUGGGCCCGCGGCGGAUUAGCUUGUUGGUGAGGUAACGGCUCACCAAGGCUCCGAUCCGUAGCUGGUCUGAGAGGACGAUCAGCCACACUGGGACUGAGACACGGCCCAGACUCCUACGGGAGGCAGCAGUAGGGAAUCUUGCACAAUGGGCGCAAACCUGAUGCAGCGACGCCGCGUGCGGGAAGACGGCCUUCGGGUUGUAAACCGCUUUCAGGAGGGACGAAGCCACUCGGGUGAAUAGCCCAAGGGUGACGGUACCUCCAGAAGAAGCCCCGGCUAACUACGUGCCAGCAGCCGCGG